CUUCUGUCCCACUUGUAAGCAGGCCCGGCCCACCACAUAGACAUAUAAGGCAGCUGCCUGCAGCGCACCCGAUCGCAGCCUCAGUUUUCCUUUUUUUUUUAGGAAGCCCUAAGACAAUAAUGGCGGGGCUGCGCUCCUCUAUCUAGUUACCUGCUGUCAGGAGCGCAGCACCGUCACAUUACCCGCUCCCUCCGCCGGCCUAGAUGCUGAUGUUAUAGGACCUGUGAUGAUGUCACUUUCAUGUGACCAUCAUGUGACCGUGCAGAAUAGAUGUAAUGGUGGUUGAAGGACCUGUGUGAUGCUGUGGAGGAGGCUGAGCUGAGCUGGAGUGGAGCCGCAUGUCACCCCAGUAACAUCAGAGAUGGGCUGCUGCUUUCAGACAAAAUGCGAUUUGCGACAAUAUGCGGAGCGAUGCCUGUGACGUGAGGCUCUUUGAAUGCCGGGUCCCUGUGGGAUUGAUUAGUGCGCGAUUUUCAUGGAAUUUCUACUGGAUCAGCUUGUUUUGUCUUUCACACACACAACAACAAAAAAAAAGAUUUUCUGUGCUAAAUUGGCAGCGGAAGUCACCUGACCUGGAACUGACAUCCUGUUCUGACACAUUAAGCACUGAAAGAUUUGGAAAGUCCGAACGAUGACAAAGUAUAAAUGUAGCUGUGCUAAAAUACAACAAAUGGCACUGUAGGAACAAUAAUGUUUUGGCAUCACAUCCUUGAAGAUGACACUGUAAACAGAAUUUAAAAUAGAAUCUGUAAAAGCUUCCGCCAGAACUGCAGGUAAAGCAGGGCCCAGUGUUCCUGGGACAAUAGGAUGAGAGCUUUAUAAAGCAGGCGUCUGUGGGUCCUGUAUAGAAGAGCAGACAGCGCAAUCCACAAAUAACAAUGGACAGGCGCAUUUCAGGAAAGAAACGUUAUUAACAAAGACAUAUUACUCAGAAUUACAUAGCCUGAUGCUUCAUCUAUGACAUCAGCUGCCAAAAGAAGAGCAUCACGGAGACCAAGUAGUCAAAUGGAGACCAGCCAAAUUAGAUGCAUCACCAGACCCCAGCCAUCCACUAUACUGAGAUAUUAUCUAGCAAUCGCUCCAAAGUUUUGAUCAUUCAGCAAAUUAUUUUGAGCUUAAACAAAGCGUGACACAAGGCCGGGUGCCCAGUAUCGACAAUGAACUUGUAGCAUGUAUGAGAACCUGAAAGUAGAACUGUUGUCACAGAGGAAAAAUAGAGGGAAAUGUCGGCACUUCUUUGGAGUCUGCGGUUGUGCACAAGGUAGGGUAAAGGUAGAAGAAAGAUGAUACCUAGCACUCACCAGUAAUGCACAGUGAAGAUUUGUUAUACUGUGGUGUGGCGGGGUGUGAGGUGCAGGGCAGAUGCUAACCUUGGGGCAGAUAGUAUUAACCCCUUGUGUUCGUGACAACAGGGCAUGGUUUAGCCUUAACCCCCCAAAGGUAUACCGCUGGAUCCUGGGCUAUGCACGGGGGGCAAUGAAGACACUGACACCAAGUUACGGACAACAGUAGCUUUAUUUAGACAGUUGGAACAGUCUAUGCAGUACAACCAGGGCCCAAGGAGGUGACUAGUGACACAGAGACCUUGCAGAUUUGCUGGGACUUGUAGAUGGAUGGGAGAAUUUAGUGCAGGCCACGCUGGGUAGACAGAAGACUUGACUUGACUGACUUGUGACUGACAGGACGGUGACUUUAUCUUACUUGCACUUGACUUGAGGCCUCCACUACUCUGGACACACUCUCUAGGCACGACUGCAUUGGACUUCAGCAGGAAGCAAGAGAGAGAAGAGAAAGAGCUAGCUCCACCCAGGGUUUAUAUGGGGGAGACCAGCAGGGAGCCCAUAGGUCACUCUGGGGGUCAGCUGGUCACUGAUACCUCCUGGGUAACAAUCACAUGGUAAAUUUUAUUAAAGGCACAACACAUCUUUUAAUAUACACCAUAUAUACAAAUGGAGAAACAACCACAGGGGGCCCUGGGGACACUGAGGGACACUGCCUGACAGGGCAGGAAAGGUACGGGGCAACACCAUCCUGUACUGGGCCACCACAAUGCCAUAGUGUAGUACAAGGACGCGUUAAAUCUUUACUGUGCAUUACUUGUGCUGGGUAUUAUCUUUCUUCUACAGAUGAAAAAUAAACCUUGAAUAGUUAGAUGAAUCCUUUUGCCCAUUGGGGAGGAUUACAGUAGUGGGUGCUUAAAGCAUACCUGUCAGAUC